rnacentral:lncRNA from 1 species
UAGAAAAUAUUUGUAUUUUUAAAUAUUCUUUCAAUUGUAAAUAUUAGAAAUCCAUUUCCAACCGUCCAAAAACACAAAUAUGGAAGGAUAUUGGGAUAGCUCCUGAAAAAUCAGAGAACAGCUUGGCUUCAUGGGGAAUUGGAACUUUCCAUGAGUAAAGCCAUUAGGAACCAAGGUAAUCCUUCCCAUCUUAUAUGCUUUCUUCUGUCUACAUGUUUCUUCUUCUUCACAAUUUAUAAACUUAUUUUUCAUUUCUUUCAUAUACACAGAAUCCAAAUUGCAAUCUAUCAUUAUUCAUUAGUCAGAGUGAGAAGCAUAUAGACAGAGAGGCCGGAGUCCAGUCUCAAUUCCAAAAAUGGAAGAGAGAAUGUCUACCCUUGUUCUAAUAGCCAUAUUCUAGAAGGCAGCAUCAUAGAGUGCAAAAUUGGGUACUAGGCCCUUGCAGAUAAAAGGCAGUGCUUGAAAACUAGAUAGAUACAUUAAGAGUAUUCACGUUGUAAAUAUAGGAUAAGUGAAAAAUUUUUCUGUAGACAUAAAGAUGUCUGUUUAGCCAAUAUAUAAAUUUGUGUCUAAAUAUCUCAGGAACUGUGUCAGGGAUUCAGUGGUGAAGGAGGUAAAUAUAGUUUUUAACCUUAAGGAGCUUACAUUCCAGUAGGGUAAAUGGAAUUUUGAAAAGUCAACAUAUAAGAAGGUAGUAUAAUUAUAAAGUGUGAUAAGUGCUUUGAAGAAGAACUAUAGUGCUGAGAUAGAAAACCACAUUAGUAAUGGGAAAGGGUCUGGUGAGAGAGGAUCAGGAUAUGUGUUUUCUCUGCUGCCUUAUGAAGAGGUAAAAUUAUGUUUAGAUUUGAAGGAAUGGGGGAAAUUUUUCCUAUCAGGGAAAAUGAUAUGUAUAAAGGCCUUGACGUAUAAGGAACAUGGAAUGCUUAAACAAAUAAAAUAUGAUCAUUAUGGAUGAAUGUAGAAAACAAGCUUAGGGACUAAUUUGUCAAUAACCAUGAGCUUUUUUUUUUUUUACUGUCUACAUGGACCUAGACUGAUUUAACUCAGUAACAUUUAGUGGGAAACCUACCAUUAUUUUAGAGAUUGCUAGAUUUAGUAAGCUUAAAAGCUAAGCUUAACAUAAAGAAGGAUAACCCCACCCCAAAAUACCACAUUUCAUAAUGAUAUAAGAAAGAGAAUGAUAUUCUAUUAGAAUCUUAUUCUUUGUUUAUUGGUUCCUCAUACAAACAUUUAUUGAUUAUGUGAUGGGCACUGUUUUUGUUACUGAGACUUUAGAGUAAAUAAUUAGAUAGGAUCCUUCUUGUCAUGGAGCUAACUAGAUCCUUACUACUCAAAAAUGUCAUCUUCUGAACAACUUCAGCAUUAAUCAACUGGGAGAUUACUAUAACUGCAGAUUCUCAGGCCCAGCCCAGACCUACCGAAUCAGAAUCUGCAUUAAGAUUCCCAUGUGAUUAUAUGAAGAUUGAGAACUCUUAUUCUAAAGUAGCAGUUGACAAACUGGCCUUCAGGACAAAUUCAGCAGGUGGCCUAUUUUAAAAAAAUUUGUAUAUUUUAACUGAUGCAUAAAAACAGAAAAAAAUGUACAUAUUGAUGGUAAACCAUGUAAUAUUUCAAUACAUGUGUACAUUGUAUAAUGUUUAAGUCAGGAUAACCAUAUGUCUGUACCCAGUUAUUUAUCAGCUAUGCCUAUUUGUUUAUUUGUUGAUGCCUUCACUGUACAAUGGCAGAUUUGAAUAGAAGCAGUGGAAAUGCAUUUGAUAUCUAGGUAUUGAUUUUAUAUCCUGCUACUUUGCUGAAUUCAUUUAUUAGUUCUAGAAGUUUUUUGGUGGAGUUUUUCAGACCCUGUAAGUAUACAAUCAUGUCAUUGGCAAAUAAUGAUAGUUGAGUUCUUCUUUUCUUCUUUUCCUAUCUGUAUCCCUUCAACAACUUUUUUUUUCUUUGCUGACUACAGAGACUUUUAAAAACUAAUGUAGGAAUAUAACCAUGUAUAACAGAUCUGAAAUAAAGUAGCUUCUUACCACAACUACCUUGUAAACACACUGCAACCUUUCUUCUCUCCAAAAUGACCCUGAUAUCACAUGAAAACAGUUAGUGGGGGAACCAGAAACCUAGAUUUAUAAACAAAACUAUAAACAAAAGGAAAAAUAGUAAUUCAGUGGUUUGAUAAAAGCAGGGAAUUCAGUGCCCGUCACUGUGCUGCUUUGUUCUUCUUACUCUUGCUCUUUUUGUCUGUCUCCUUCAGCCCAUCCGUUUUAGGUCUCAAUAGGUUUGAAUAAGCUAUCUGAAACUUAUUCACUUCUUUUGGAGCUCACCAUUGUGCUGAUCUUCUUUUUCCCAUCCAUUGCUCUCAACAGAUACAUAUUGUCUGAGGGAUCAAUGCCCUGCACAGAAUCCUUCCUCUGUGUAGGUUUAAUUAAGCCAUCAUACUUCUUCAAGGUGAUGUACAGGCUGCCUGACAACCAACACUUCGGGAAGAGCCUGGUCAUCUCUAUCAGGAACUACUUGCACUCCAGGAGUACCACCUUGUUGCUCUGUGGGACCCUCCUCAUCAACCAAAGUCCCCUCCCUUAAAUUUCUUUCCUCUGUCUAAUUGCCCUGGCUAGAUUUCAAGGGCUAUGUUAAAAGAAGUGGUAAAAGAGAGUAUCCCUGUUUUAUUCCAGUUUUUAGAGCAAAUGCAUUCAAUUUUUCUCCAUUUAGAAAGAUGUUGGCCUUGGGCUUAGCAUAGAUAGUUUUCAGAAUGUUUAGAUAUGUUCCUAUUACCCCUAUCUUUUCUAGUGUUUUGAACAUGAAGGGGUGCUGUAUUGUAUUGAGAUGAUCAUAUGAUUCUUAUCUUGAUGUGAUGCAUUACAUUUAUUGAUUUCUGUAUGUUGAACCAACCUUGCAUCCCUGGGAUGAAC